GACGAACGCUGGCGGCGUGCUUAACACAUGCAAGUCGAGCGAUGAGGCACCUUCGGGUGUGGAUUAGCGGCGAACGGGUGAGGAACACGUGAGGAAUCUGCCUUUCACUUCGGGAUAACUCCGGGAAACCGGGGCUAAUACCGGAUAUUUUCAACUGGCGGCAUCGCCGGUUGAAGAAAGUUUUUAGUUGAAAGAUGACCUGGCGGCCUCUCAGCUUGUUGGUGAGGUAAUGGCUCACCAAGGCGACGACGGGUAGCCGGCCUGAGGGGGCAAGCGGCCACACUGGGACUGAGACACGGCCCAGAAUCCUACGGGAGGCAGCAGUGGGGAAUAUUGGGCGAUGGAGGAAGCUCUGACCCAGCGACGCCGCGUGAGGGAUGAAGGCCUUCGGGUUGUAAACCUCUUUCAGCAGGGAAUAAGCGAAAGUGAAGGUACCUGCAGAAGAAGCACCGGCUAACUAUGUGCCAGCCGCCGCAGUAA
rnacentral:rRNA from 1 species